AUAAUAAGAUAGUUGACAGUGUUCAGGAUGGAUGACUUUAUAUUAAUACAUGAAAUUGAAAUACGAAGAGAGCUUUACGACCACGGUGACCCCAAAUUCAGUACAAGGACAAACGAAAAAGAGAUGCCGGAUGGAGGGCUGUUUCGGAGGCAGUUGGGAUAACUGUUGUGAAGUGCCAAGGUCGCUGGAGGGACCUAAGGGACCAAUUAUCAAAAAAAAAGGUUCAACCACGGAGUGGAUCGGCAGCAGGACCCCAAAAGGAGUGGAAAUACUCCCAAGCCCUUUCCUUCCUUGUUCCCCACCUUCAACCCACGAGCUCUAGAAGCAGCCUAGACCAGGUUGAUGUGGAUGAUUGGGAGGCAUUGGACCUGAGCCAUGGAGAGGAUGUGCGGGAUGAACAGCUGAUCAACAUUUUCAACCUGGUUCUUCAACCAGCAGGCCCUACAACAGACCUGCCGCGCGCAAGAGGGCCUCAGCACCUGCAGUGUCAUUGGAGGAUAGGCUGCUGGCUAUGGUCCAGGAGCCUCCACAACCGAUGUUCCAUCGUGUGCCACAGGAAGAGGAUGAGA